GGGGACAUAGCUCAGCUGGGAGAGCAACAGACUGAAGUUACCGAGAGUUACUCUCGUCUUCUGGAGGUCCCCGGUUCAAUCCCGGGUGUCCCCA
rnacentral:tRNA from 1 species